rnacentral:rRNA from 1 species
AGUGAACGCUGGCGGUAGGCCUAACACAUGCAAGUCGAACGGCAGCACAGUAAGAGCUUGCUCUUACGGGUGGCGAGUGGCGGACGGGUGAGGAAUACAUCGGAAUCUACAUUUUCGUGGGGGAUAACGUAGGGAAACUUACGCUAAUACCGCAUACGACCUACGGGUGAAAGCAGGGGAUCUUCGGACCUUGCGCGAUUGAAUGAGCCGAUGUCGGGUUAGCUAGUUGGCGGGGUAAAGGCCCACCAAGGCGACGAUCCGUAGCUGGUCUGAGAGGAUGAUCAGCCACACUGGAACUGAGACACGGUCCAGACUCCUACGGGAGGCAGCAGUGGGGAAUAUUGGACAAUGGGCGCAGGCCUGAUCCAGCCAUACCGCGUGGGUGAAGAAGGCCUUCGGGUUGUAAAGCCCUUUUGUUGGGAAAGAAAAGCAGCAGGUUAAUACCCCGCUGUUCUGACGGUACCCAAAGAAUAAGCACCGGCUAACUUCGUG